UUUUUCCUGGAUUAUUCGUUAAAGGAUACAUAAAAGAACCUACACUAACGCAACGGGAACCCGUGUCGUUUAAGCGUUAUGUCAGGCCUCCUCCGAGUGGAAGGCAGAGGCUUAAGUGCAGGGCACCCACCUAUCUACUGAUAGGGCGUCUUUUAUACCCUUGACGGUAAUCCGGGUUUUUU
rnacentral:other from 1 species